GUGAGCGCAAUUCUGAGAUUGCUCGCAAGAAUCCAGGCCUCGGAUGAGGAAGCUGGGGCCAGGGGAAGUGAAGAAAUGCAUCUUCCACUUUCUUAGUGACUCCCGUGGGCACUAUGCCCAUGUCCAGUGGUGCGGCCAUGGUGUGCAUAUGGGUCUCUUUCAAAUGACAGUUAUUUUUAAGGAAAGAAAACACCUGGCUUUCAGUGAGAGUAAUCAGAUAAAGCUGCUUAUGUUCACUGCAAACCUCCCCUGAGGUAAUGAGUGGGAGGCCCUCAGUGGAAAUGUCAGAAAGGCCAGCACUUUAUGCUUUAUUUUCUUUAUUCCCGGUCCAAAAUUAGAUGCAACUGGUGUGACUUCACAAGUGCUGUCCUCGGUCCCAAGCCGGGAUGUGGCCACUGUUUGCCAGGGAUCCUGCUGCAAAGGAUUCCAAAGCUUGGCUCCCAGCCCAGAUGCCCCUGCACUCCUGAGGCAGAGGCUCUGCAAGUCUUCUCCUUUCUCAUUCCCGAGGCUGGGGCUUCAUCCUUACAAAGUGUCCUUACAAACUCCUCCUUCCAAACCUGGCUUCUGAUGAGAGGGUGCAGAGAGAAAUUGGGCUUUGGAGGUAAAUGUAUUCUUCUCUGUAUUUCAUUAUCUCCUGGCACCUAGCACUAGAGCCAGCCUCGCUCAAUGGGCAUAAAAAUAAACAUUUACAUUUGACAG
rnacentral:lncRNA from 1 species